CCUACGGGAGGCAGCAGUGAGGAAUAUUGGUCAAUGGCCGAGAGGCUGAACCAGCCAAGUCGCGUGUGGGAAGAAUGUCCUAGGGAUUGUAAACCUCUUUUGUCAGGGAGCAAAGUCACCCACGUGUGGGUGUGGGGGAGUACCUGAAGAAAAAGCAUCGGCUAAGUCCGUGCCAGCAGCCGCGGUAAUACGGUGGAGGCGAGCGUUAUCUGGAUUGAUUGGGUUUAAAGGGUGCGGAGGCGGGUGAUCAAGUCAGCGGUAAAAUCGUGGGGCUCAACUCCAUCCAGCCGUUGAAACUGAUGGUCUAGAGUGGGCGAGAAGUAUGCGGAAGGCGUGGUGUAGCGGUGAAAUGCAUAGAUAUCACGAAGAACUCCGAUGGCGAAGGCAGCAUACCGGAGCACGACUGACGCUGAAGCACGAAAGCGUGGGUAUCGAACAGGAUUAGAUACCCGUGUAGUC
rnacentral:rRNA from 1 species